AUGCAGAAUUGUAAGUCAGCACCAACACCUUUGUCCAGUACAGAAAAAUUAUCUCUUACAGAUGGAGAACUCAUGAAUCAAGAGGAUGGCACAAGAUACAGAAGCAUAGUAGGUGCACUUCAGUGCUUGACCCUUACUAGACCUGACGUCUCAUUUGCUGUAAACAAGGUAUGCCAGUUUCUUCAUGCACCCACUACCACUCAUUGGACAGCUGCAAAACGCAUAUUGAGAUACAUUAAAGGUGCUCCAGAUACUGGGUUGACAUUCAGGAAGUCAUCGUCCACUCUUGUUAGUGCCUUUUCUGAUUCUGACUGGGCAGGGUGUGUAGAUGACAGAAGGUCUACUGGUGGUUUUGCAAUAUUUUAUGGUUCAAAUUUGAUCUCUUGGUAUGCAAAGAAACAAGCUACAGUUUGCAGGUCAAGUACAAAAGCAGAAUAUAAGGCCCUAGCAAAUGCUACAGCGGAGAUUAUUUGGGUGCAGUCUAUGCUUAAGGAACUUGGAGUACAUAAUGAACAUGCUCCAAUUUUAUGGUGUGAUAAUCUUGGUGCGACAUACCUUUCUGCCAAUCCAGUCUUCCAUGCAAGAACUAAACACAUUGAGAUAGACUUUCAUUUUGUUAGAGAACGAGUUGCAAAUAAACAACUUGAAAUCAGAUUUGUCCAUUCUAAAGAUCAGGUUGCGGAUGGAUUUACAAAGGCAUUGCCCACACGAAGCUAUGAAGCAUUCAAGCAUAAUCUCAACCUAUCACGGUUGUGA
rnacentral:rRNA from 1 species